UACGGAGGGAGCUAGCGUUGUUCGGAAAUACUGGGCGUAAAGCGCACGUAGGCGGCGCAGCAAGUCAGGGGUGAAAUCCCGGGGCUCAACCCCGGAACUGCCCUUGAAACUGCAGUGCUAGAAUCCUGGAGAGGCGAGUGGAAUUCCGAGUGUAGAGGUGAAAUUCGUAGAUAUUCGGAAGAACACCAGUGGCGAAGGCGACUCGCUGGACAGGUAUUGACGCUGAGGUGCGAAAGCGUGGGGAGCAAACAGG
rnacentral:rRNA from 1 species